rnacentral:lncRNA from 1 species
GACAUACAAACAGCUUAGGAGACCUAAUGAGAGGUAGAGUGGAAAGGAUUUUAGAGGAAAGACAAAGAUUUUUAAGGAGAUGAACCACCGAUUUGGAGACGAGGAUUUGAAGCUAGGGUAAGCUUGAUUCACCCAAAUGAGGAAGAGAAGGAAAAGAGAUUUAGUUUCUAAGAGGGAGAUUUGAAUAGAGAAAAUUGAUGAGAAGAGAGAUUUUAAGAGAUUUUUGCAGUUGAGAGAGUGGAGAGGGAGGAGAUUUUUGUUCGGUGGG